rnacentral:rRNA from 1 species
UACGAAGGGGGGCUAGCGUUGCUCGGAAUCACUGGGCGUAAAGCGCACGUAGGCGGAUCUUUAAGUCAGGGGUGAAAUCCCAAGGCUCAACCUUGGAACUGCCUUUGAUACUGGGGAUCUCGAGUCCGGAAGAGGUGAGUGGAACUGCGAGUGUAGAGGUGAAAUUCGUAGAUAUUCGGAAGAACACCAGUGGCGAAGGCGACUCACUGGACACGUAUUGACGCUGAGGUGCGAAAGCGUGGGGAGCAAACAGG